UUUCCCGACACUUUUUCAUUGUGCGUUUAAGCCUGAAUGCGAUUUACGUAGGAUUGACUCAGAAGGGGGUGCUGGGGGAGAGCUGGGACAUGUUACCGGAGUCAAGCACCGAAGUCCCUGUGCAUUUUGCAUCCGGAGGGAUGAAUUGCUGUGUGUUUUCUCUGUCGCUGCAGCUCAUUGUAGCCGUAGUAACGGCACGGUGAUGAUAAUUAUAAUAACAAUGGAGAGAAAAAUGACUGGCAAACGCGUUUGCCUAAGGCUCUGCGGAGCUUGCGUGGCUUCCUCGUAAUGUACCUUUUUGUUUCCAUAGUAGUGGAAAGCACGGCUAACACAGUGCUUGAUCAGUUAAAAUGUGUCAACUAGUUGUUAAGUUUCGGUCGCGCGUCCCUGCUCCAUCCGAGCCGACUCCGUAUGGGAGCGACGCUGUAAUGUGAGACCUGCGGGCUGGAUUCCCGGGCAGCGUUUGCCACUUCUCUGGCCUUUAGGGUUAAACAAUGGAUGGUUUAUGCCUUGUUCCGUGAUCGCGAAAGAGUCUUUACGGCACUCUUCAAAAACAUGUUUUUUAUAUGCGGGGAAAGUUCUAAGAUGUCCAACAUGCCCCCAUACUACCCUCCCAAAAAAAAAAAAAAGAGAGAGAGAGAGAGAGAGGGAGGGAAGGAGAAACCAUCGAUCGGAAUUUCAAGGUGAACAGAGCGGUUUCACAGUUUAAAGACUAUCCCACCCGGACCAUGCAACUAACCUUAACAGCUCUGCGUGUGUCCGCGCGUGUGUACGUGUGCAUAAGAAAGCAAGCGAGGGAGGAAUUUCGGCCGCUGUGCAUCCGCUGCAGAAGUUUUACAGUAAGCAAGGGGAGGACGGAAGGGAAAGUAAACCUCACUUCCGAGGCGGGAUGUGCUGGCCGGGGAGAGCCUCUGGGCCGAGCCUCACAGCGGGACCCCCGCGCCCGGUACGCGCCCGCCCGGACACCGCAGGCGCAGCGGGCAAGGGGGCACUCCGAAAGUUGCACCCCCAGACAAGCGGCAUCCUCUGUGCCUGCCAGCAACGUGGCUGGAGGGGGUGUUACAGUGGCUGCUGUAAGCUAUUAGCAGCCGCUACAACCCUUUCCGUGGGACCCUAAAAGCUCUUGUCUUCGCCUGGGAGUAGCGCCUCGGUCUGCCUCUAAUUUUGCUUAAAUUCCUCCCCGCGUACACUUUUAUGUGGGGAAGGUUGGUAAUGAUGAAAAAGUCACCAGCCUGUUACUGUUCUCGUGUGCUGAAUUCCUAGUAGCACUUAUUUUCUUCUUCCAUCUGAUCUAAAGGUGGUGCUUAAGGCACGUUGCUCCUAGCAACCGUCUUCAGGAAUGCUUGUUUCUUAGGACAUGGCUAAACGGGUCCGUAUAUUAUUGCGGGGCUUAUUUUGCAUUCAGUCUGCUCCAUAGUCAUGGUCGUGAAAUUAGCGCCGGGGCUACUUGCGGUCUGGCACUGUCCAGCUGUCCGUCCUUCCACGGACCGGGAUUCAUAGCCCGGGCCGAGGGUCGGUCUCCAGAACCCCUGAAUUGCUCUCAAGGGUAGCUAAGUAAACAAGCAUCUUCCCGGCAACACCAAUAAAAAGAGGUGAGCAUUCCUUCCUUAGGUUAGCAUCUUCUCUGAACUGUUGAUCCAGUGUAUCUGUAGAGACAGCCCUGGCGAGCAGCAUUUUGGCAGUGAUUCGAAUAAUUAGUAAUCCCGAGACCCAACGCUGGUGCAGCGGGGCUCCGGCACCCAGUGACAUGGUGGCACAGGAACGUAUUUUUCUAGGCUAACUUCCCCUCCGAACUGUGUCCGGGUCAUCUAGUCGGUUAACGGGUUAUGCUCACUUCAUUGUAUGUAGCAGCGAAGUAUGAGCCUGCUUCUGAAGCACGGACUGCUUUUUCUUGUCUGUAAAAAGAAUUGUCGCCUACCCAACUGUGAGGCUUGGAAGCAAGGAAUGGUUGUUUGGCUUAUUUUAGUAUAGGAGAUCUUAGACGUAAUAGAGCCCGAGGAAGGCUUUCCCCCUGCUUAGCCGGGCCUGUUGCACAUCCCUGCUGUGAGGAGUCUGGAUUUAGCCUGGUCCAGGUGCGGAGCGACUCUGACCGCCAGAGCCGCCCAGCCCCUUCCCCAGAGGGUGACAUCUCUGUGCGUAGGGCAUGGCGGGGAGGAGGGAAGGAACAGGAAGCUUUGUGGAAGAGCUUUGGUUAUUUCUGAGAGGGGAAUUCCCUGCCAUCCCCUCCGGGCUCCUGUGCUAUCUGUCUUUUCCAAGUGUCCUUGCAACCAGGGGGCCGGGAUGCCCGUGCCUUCCCGUGGAGUCCUUCCCGAGAAGCGAGGGCUGAGGAGAUUCCCUCCAGAAGGCAGCCUGCCAGCCCCCGUUCUUCUUCCUCAGCCAGGAGCGCUAUGGCAACGGGGGAGAGCUUGAAGCCUGCCAGAGCUGCAGCCCCCUCAUUCCUCCUGUGCAAAUUAACCACCGUGGAUUCGCAUUGUCCUUCCCACGGCUUCUGUCAUUGUUGGGACUAGCCAGCACGUCCUUUCUCUCUCUCUCUCUCACUCACUCUCAGAUACCUUUUAGCAACCACACAGGGAAGCCGAGCCACCUGGGCCAAAGGCAAGGGGUUAUUUUUGCCUGUGCCUUAUGGAGCAGGCACGGGGAGAAGCUGGUGCAAUGGCAUCAGUCACUCCCUGGCGGCAUUCGAGUGGGGGCAACGUGGUAUUUGGGCAUCACAUCACCACCCUUCCUAAGUGCCACCUCGCCUCAUGGGGCUUGCGGCCAGCCCUCCUCCUCUGCCGUUUAUGAGUAGUUUCCCAUGGGCAAGCCCAGGGACCGCUGAGAGUGAGGCUUGUACCCACCACACUCGAGGGUUUCAAAUAGGAACAAAAAACAUUGCUUAUUUAAACCUAAGUGUAUACGACUGAUGUGGAUAAAGGGCCGGGUCCCAGCUUGAGAAAGGAGAAAAGCAGCUGCCUAGCAUUUGUCUCUCCGUAGCUAAGUGUGAUGGAAACCUUUCCCUUAUCAUUUGGCACCGUACAAAAGCCCAAAUCUGUGCCCGUCGGCGGAUCCGUUCCAUUAUCAGGGAUUGCGUCUUGUAGCUUUCCCAUUCGCUGCUCCCGUGGAAGAGCAGAGCCCGGCGGCAGCUCCCGGGAAGCCCCUGUAACGCGGCCGGACCGGGCCGGGCUGAACCGGGCCGCUCAGUGUCGCCGCUCCGCUCCCCAGCCCCGGCCCGCCGGGCCCCGCUCACUUCUGCCUUUUUCUCCCCUCGGGGCACCCCAGCACUCGUGAGGCUGAAUGGACUUUAAUGGACAUUAAGAGCUGUUAGCCAUCAACAACUCUUAACCUGUUUACACAAGCCCACUCGUCUCGCCCAAGGCAGUACGACGCCGGGCUACUUAAAACCCCUCUUUUCUUCCCCAUUCCUAUGCUUCCUCCUUCUUUUGGACUACUCUAAAGUACUCUUCUUUAUUUAAAUUACCCGCUUCGGGCCUUGUCUCUGCUAUCGAAAGCAAUGCGGAAUAAAACCCUGCCCGUCCUCCCUACAUCAAAGGUUUGAAUAUGGAGCAGUGAGCGGAAGGUGAAAGCGCUUUGGCCCUUGAGUUUCCAAAUUCCCCCUCAGCACAUUCAAAAAGAAAAGUAAAGAAAAGCAGAGGCCCAUGUCUGUAGUCUUGCCUCGUCGCUGAUUUGGCGUUGUGGGUAUUUCUAGUUAAUCCUGGCUUCAAGCAGAUGGAAAAGGGAGAUGGGUGUUGCGGGUUAGAAUGAUUUAUGUAUUUAAAAAGGGGUGAGGGGGGCGCAAGGGAAGGAGGAUUCGCCUUCCCCCAAUUUAAAAACAAAAUAAAGCCAAGAGGAAAGAGGUAGAAUACUUUUCAAUGAAUGAAGGUAGAGUUUUGAACUCUUCACGAAAUAAUUUCCUACUGUUGACCUUUCCUUUAAAAAAAGAAAAA